rnacentral:lncRNA from 1 species
UGAAAUAAUAAAAUAAAUGUAUCAAAAGAUGAAAUCCAAUUGAUAAAAACAACACGAGAUAGGAAUUAUAUCAUCUCAUAGAAAACAGCUCAAGCAUCCGAAGUCAGUUGGAUCUCCGGUGUAGAUUAUGAUAUAAAGUUCGUUCAUGUCUUUAUAUGAGAUCACUAAUAUUCAGCUAUACAAAUAACACAUAUGGAUCAGACUAACUACAUUACAGGGGCUGGAGACGAUGCCAAUGACUUUGUGAUAAAACUAAGGACUGGUUCCACUAAGAUGCUUCCACAAAUGGUCACCUCAGUGAAAGCUUGAACCCAAGUAAUGAACUCAAAGAAGAAGAAGGGCCUAUUCCAGAAUGGAUUAAUGGUUAUAAUAUGAAUGAUGAGCAGAUAGAUGUAGAAAGAACAAUGCCUAGUCCAAAACCAGUUAACAGUAGUAAUAAGGACGAGGAGAAGCAGAUAGAUGGAGUAAAAUCAGUGCAUAGUCUAGAACCAGUCAACAGAAGUAAUAAGGAUGAAGAGCAGCAGAUAGAUGGAGUAAAAGCCAUUAGUCCAGAACUAGUUAACGGUAGUAAUAAAGAUGAAGGGCAGCAGUUGGAUGGAGAAAAAACCGUGUAGUCCAGAACCAAUUAACAGU